rnacentral:rRNA from 1 species
GACGAACGCUGGCGGCGGGCUUAACACAUGCAAGUCGAGCGGAGCGGCGGACGGGGGCGUAAUGCCUAGGAAUCGGCCUGGUAGUGGGGGAUAACGUCCGGAAACGGGCGCUAAUACCGCAUACUAUCAGAAGAGCCUAGGUCGGAUUAGCUAGUUGGUGGGGUAAAGGCAUACCAAGGCGACGAUCCGUAACUGGUCUGAGAGGAUGAGCAGUCACACUGGGACUGAGACACGGUCCAGACUCCUACGGGAGGCAGCAGUGGGGAAUAUUGGACAAUGGGCGAAAGCCUGAUCCAGCCAUGCCGCGUGUGUGAAGAAGGUCUUCGGAUUGUAAAGCACUUUAAGUUGGGAGGCGUUACCAACAGAAUAAGCACCGGCUAACUUCGUGCCAGCCGCCGCGGUAAUAC